CUUUAAGUGCUUUGGAUUCCUAUAUUUCUAAUAUUCUGUCAAUAGUCACUCAUAAACAGCAAACAAAAGAAAAGUGCACAUUUGUUAUAGUCCCAGCCGAUGCUAAACCAAGUUCCACACUGGAUUCCUUAUGUUCCACGCAUUUUUUGCUAAACCAAAAUAUGCUGAACUGAUAGUAAAGUGCCAAUCUUGCAACGAUGCUAGAAAA
rnacentral:misc_RNA from 1 species